UGUAAUUGACUAAGACCUUGGUUUAUACUACAUUUGGCUAUAUUUAUAUUUUGAUUAAUAGAAUACAUGACUAAAUCAUCUGCAUAUUGUAGGAUAUUUACAUUAUUUUCUCUUACAUUAUUUUGGAUCUGAGACGUGUAGAGAUUGUAUAAAAUUGGUGAUAAGAUAGCACCUUGCAUUAAUCCUUUAUGUGCAUACUUAGGCCCAUAUAUAAUAUUAUUAAAUUUAACAUAUACUGUGCGAUUAUAAAAAAAGUUGAAUAUCCAUCUUAAUAACUUUCCAGGUAUUUUUAAUUCACUCAAAACUCUGAUCAAUUGAAACAGGUUCACAUUAUCAUAUGCACCCUCAACAUCCAGAAAUACACAUAUUGCAUUAGAGUGAGCAAAGAUAGAAUUUUUGAUGUCAGCAAUGAAUGAAACGAAGCCUUCAACUGCACUUUUACCUUUUCUGAAACCUAGUUGAUAAUCAGGUGGACAAUAUACACAUAGAAUAGUUAGAGGACCGACUUUUGUAUCAACAGAAAUAGCAAUCGUUUGAACAUCUUGGAAAUUUGGGAGUUGAAAGUUGGACAUAUUUUAUAGAACUUUUAAUUAAAAAGGCUACACCACCAUGUUCAUUUUCAGCAUUUUUAAAAAUAAAAUCAUACCCAGGCAUGUGAAAGUGUGACUGGGAACUUUUUAACCAUGUUUCAUUUAAUAAACAUAUAUCUAUUUCAUUAUCGAAUAAAAGUGUUUGUAACAAAGGUUUUUUAUUAUUAAUACUUUGUAUAUUAUGUUGUACUAGUUUUAAACUAUCCAUUAUUCAGAUAAGUUUUUAAUAAAAAUUUCCUUAAUAUGA